CAGCCGCCACGGUAAUACGAAGGGUGCAAGCGUUACUCGGAAUUACUGGGCGUAAAGCGUGCGUAGGUGGUGGUUUAAGUCCGUUGUGAAAGCCCUGGGCUCAACCUGGGAAUUGCAGUGGAUACUGGAUCACUAGAGUGUGGUAGAGGAUAGUGGAAUUUCCGGUGUAGCAGUGAAAUGCGUAGAGAUCGGAAGGAACAUCUGUGGCGAAGGCGACUAUCUGGGCCAACACUGACGCUGAGGCACGAAAGCGUGGGGAGCAAACAGGAUUAGAUACCCGCGUAGUCCCUGUCUCUUAUAC
rnacentral:rRNA from 1 species